UACGUAGGGGGCAAGCGUUAUCCGGAUUUACUGGGUGUAAAGGGAGCGCAGGUGGCAGCUCAAGUCUGAAGUGAAAACCCUCGGCUCAACUGAGGGAUUGCUUUGGAAACUGAGUUGCUGGAGUACUGGAGGGGUAAGUGGAAUUCCUGGUGUAGCGGUGAAAUGCGUAGAUAUCAGGAGGAACACCGGUGGCGAAGGCGGCUUACUGGACAGUAACUGACACUGAGGCUCGAAAGCGUGGGGGGCAAAC
rnacentral:rRNA from 1 species